rnacentral:rRNA from 1 species
AUUGAACGCUGGCGGCAGGCCUAACACAUGCAAGUCGAGCGAGAGGCGGACGGGUUAGUAAUGUAUGGGGAUCUGCCCGAUAGAGGGGGAUCACUACUGGAAACGGUGGCUAAUUCCGCAUAAUUGCGGCUGAACCCAUAUGGGAUUAGCUAGUAGGUGGGGUAAAGGCUCACCUAGGCGCCGAUCUCUAGCUGGUCUGAGAGGAGGAUCAGCCACACUGGAACUGAGACACGGUCCAGACUCCUACGGGAGGCAGCAGUGGGGAAUAUUGGACAAUGGGCGCAAGCCUGAUGCAGCCAUGCCGCGUGUGUGAAGAAGGCCUUCGGGUUGUAAAGUACUUUCAGCGGGGAGGCGUUACCCGCAGAAGAAGCACCGGCUAACUCCGUGCCAGCAGCCGCGGUAAUAC